UACGGAGGGUGCAAGCGUUGUCCGGAUUUAUUGGGUUUAAAGGGUGCGUAGGCGGCUCUGUAAGUCAGUGGUGAAAUACUGCAGCUUAACUGUAGCAUUGCCAUUGAUACUGUAGGGCUUGAGUACAGAUGAGGUAGGCGGAAUUGAUGGUGUAGCGGUGAAAUGCAUAGAUACCAUCAAGAACACCGAUUGCGAAGGCAGCUUACUAAGCUGUAACUGACGCUGAGGCACGAAAGCGUGGGGAUCGAACAGG
rnacentral:rRNA from 1 species